UAUAAAGCAGAGGCUCUUACAACCCUUGCUAUUAUUUCGACAUCUGGAUUGCUAAGAUUCUCAAUUUAUGCCCACGUGGACUCUCCACACUUCUUUAUCCCUAUUUCAAUCACUCUCAAUCACUCCCAGUUUUUGCCUAAGAAAGCAUGACCUGCGGCAAUAAAAAACAUAAACAAAAUAACGUAAAAGCUCGGUACGUAAAAAUAACGUAAAUAAUACCGUUUUGUGUUCCACCGAUUGUCGGCCUGUUGUUCCCGUUCUCCUACUUCCCUACAUCUGAGUAUCUUCUUCUCGGUUGGUUCGUGUACCAGAUUUAACUCCAUACGCCUUUUAUUCUCUGUAGGUUCGCGUAACAGUUGAAGACCCACGGACAAUUGGUGUCUUAUACUCUCAUGCGGACUUCCCGUUGAAGAAAGCGACAAGACAAUUUUUCCCGAGCCGUGCUAUCUUGACUAAAUGUUUUAUGUUGGGUAUGAUUGUUCUUUUUUCUUGAGCGUUUGAUUUUUUCCCUUCGCAGGAGCUACAAGGCGAAUCAACACUCAGCAGAGUCGCCCUUCUCUUCUGUUUAAUCGUUGUUCUCUUUGUUUUAUUUCCCCCUAUUUUGACCUCAGAUUUGAGUAGGCAUAUCUCUGCUUUCCAUCCAUGGUGUGGAUAAAUCAAGGGCUUUCUGCAAUGAACUAUCUUUGAAUGUUUUGGAAUCCGAUGAUUCUUUUUUGGAUAUAAAGACGGCAACUGAUGGCUUUCACAGGAUAAUCUAUAGCAAUUCUCAAGGUGCUGCUUACAAUGCCACAUUUCAAGAUGGGGGAAUUGCUUUGGUGAAGGAGUUAAUGCUUUUUCUGGAGAUGAAAAUGCUUUUAAUAGGGAGCUGAAAGUAUUAGCGAGCUUGCAUCACCGUCAUUUACUCACACUUCGAGGUUUUUCCUCUGGAUGCAAAAGAAAUGGCUUACAAUAAGAAGUUACUUCGAGGACUGAAGAAGAGCAAAGUAUAUGGUAACUAUUCAAGAAACUUUGGGUUUUUUUUUAAUCACUAAGUUGGUUUUUCGUGGUGAACUCUAUGCUUGACCAAUUAUGAGAAGCCAUAGUUGUCCAGAUUUUAUUUUAGAAUUUCAGGAUUUCGAUAGCCAACUGAAUUUGUAAGGUCUAAGUGAAGCUCAGGGGGAAUUUGCAAGGUUUGAUCUCUAAUUUCUCUCACCUCUCAAUGUGAAUUUUCAUGGUUUGAUUUCUAAAUCCAUAUUUCUCUAUAGACUUCUCCACAUAUUUCAAUAGCCCACUGAAUUUGCAAGGUUUUAGGGAAACUUAGGGGGAAUUUGCAGGGUUUGUUAUCUGAUUUCUUCCACCUCUCAUUGGGGAUUUUGCAAGGUGUGAUUUCUAAUUUCUAAGUCUCCCUACCUCUUCAAAUAGUAUUUCUAAUUUCUUAGUUAUGAUUGCAUAGACAAAAAUUUUCUACAAAUUGUUGCUCUAUUUUUCUUAGUUGUGCUUUGUUUAUCUGGCAUAAUAUUAAUUAGCAUUGCAAUAAGGUAGAUAGUUUGAUUCUCUGGAAUAUAUUGGUUGUUUGAUGAUUUUCUGCUUUGGAUGUAUAUGGGAUUUACAAUUAAAAUAUAUAUAUCGCUCGCAUUCACAUUUGAGAAAUGAGAAUACUAUCGAGAUUGUUGUAGACCCAAUAUUUUAAUUCCAUAUAAACUUGAUUGCUCUUGCAAAUCUAAAGUUUACACGGACAUGCUUAAUCUUUGCUUGGUGAAUACAUGCCUGGUCAAUUUUAAUCGAGCCCCCUUCAAGCAAUCAAGAAACUCAGUCUUUAUGC